UACGUGGGUCCGAGUGUUGUCCGGAAUUAUUGGGCGUAAAGAGCUCGUAGGCGGUUUGUCGCGUCUGCUGUGAAAUCCCGAGGCUCAACCUCGGGCCUGCAGUGGGUACGGGCAGACUGGAGUGCGGUAGGGGAGAAUGGAAUUCCUGGUGUAGCGGUGGAAUGCGCAGAUAUCAGGAGGAACACCGAUGGCGAAGGCAGUUCUCUGGGCCGUAACUGACGCUGAGGAGCGAAAGCGUGGGGAGCGAACAGG
rnacentral:rRNA from 1 species